CUCCCCGGGGCCGCUGCCUUCUCCAAGCUUGGGGUUCUGUCCGCUGGGCCGCUUGCCCCGAGGCAGGAAGACGAGUUCGAGGAGGAUGCCUGGGCCCGUCGCUCGCGGCCCCGGGUGAAGCAGGCCCGCGCCGGCCGGCGCCAUGGAAAGGAGAGGGAACCACAGUUGCCCCCCGCCGGCAUGCGCGCCCAUUGAGCCCCGCCGCAGGCAGCCCCCGGCCGCAGGUCCCCGAGUGACACUGGCGGCACCUGGGAGCGUGGCGCGGCCCCGGGGCCACGCCGAGGAGCCCAGCGUCCAGUAAAGCUGACGAGGACCUGCCGCUUGCGCCGCAGCCAUGGUGAUGUCCCAGGGCACCUACACGUUCCUCACGUGCUUCGCCGGCUUCUGGCUCAUCUGGGGUCUCAUCGUCCUGCUCUGCUGCUUCUGCAGCUUCCUGCGCCGCCGCCUCAAACGGCGCCAGGAGGAGCGACUGAGGGAGCAGAACCUGCGCGCCCUGGAGCUGGAGCCCCUCGAGCUUGAGGGCAGCCUGGCUGGAAGUCCUCCGGGCCUGGCGCCGCCACCGCCACCGCACCGCAGCCGUCUGGAGGCGCCUGUGCACGCGCACUCGCACGUGCACGUGCACCCUCUGCUGCACCACGGGCCGGCGCAGCCGCACGCGCACCCGCACCCACACCAUCACGCACUGCCGCACCCACCGCCGUCGCACCUCUCCGUGCCGCCCCGGCCCUGGAGCUAUCCGCGCCAAGCGGAAUCGGACAUGUCUAAGCCGCCGUGCUACGAGGAGGCGGUGCUGAUGGCCGAGCCGCCGCCGCCCUACAGCGAGGUGCUCACGGACACUCGCGGCCUCUACCGCAAGAUCGUCACGCCCUUUCUGAGCCGCCGCGACAGCGCGGAGAAGCAGGAGCAGCCGCCUCCGAGUUACAAGCCUCUCUUCCUGGACCGGGGCUAUACCUCGGCGCUGCAUCUUCCCAGCGCCCCGCGGCCCGCCGCCCCCUGCCCUGCCCUCUGUCUGCAGGCGGACCGCAGCCGCCGUGUCUUCCCCAGCUGGACCGACUCAGAGCUCAGCAGCCGAGAGCCCCUGGAGCACGGAGCUUGGCGCCUGCCCGUCUCCAUCCCCUUGUUUGGGAGGACUACAGCCGUAUAGAGGGGCGCUCGGCGUCCCGAGCCCCACGGGCGAACUCCUAGCCUGACUGCGAGGCUUUUUAAAUGCUUCCCUUGGACUGCAGGGAGGGGUGGGGGGAGGGAGGGAUUUCUUACCCUGUUUGUUACAUUUUGAGGAUAAUAAAGGUGUGUGAUCUGCUUUGGUACAA
rnacentral:lncRNA from 1 species